rnacentral:rRNA from 1 species
AGCGAACGCUGGCGGCAGGCCUAACACAUGCAAGUCGAACGAAGCCUUCGGACUUAGUGGCGGACGGGUGAGUAACACGUGGGAACGUGCCUUUAGGUUCGGAAUAACUCAGGGAAACUUGUGCUAAUACCGAAUGUGCCCUUCGGGGGAAAGAUUUAUCGCCUUUAGAGCGGCCCGCGUCUGAUUAGCUAGUUGGUGAGGUAAAGGCUCACCAAGGCUACGAUCAGUAGCUGGUCUGAGAGGAUGACCAGCCACAUUGAGACUGAGACACGGCCCAAACUCCUACGGGAGGCAGCAGUGGGGAAUCUUGCGCAAUGGGCGAAAGCCUGACGCAGCCAUGCCGCGUGGAUGAUGAAGGUCUUAGGAUUGUAAAAUCCUUUCACCGGUGAAGAUAAUGACUGUAGCCGGAGAAGAAGCCCCGGCUAGCUUCGUGCCAGCCGCCGCAGUAACAC